ensembl:lncRNA
AAGCCCUUCCCUCUAUUGAUGGGUAAAGAGUCUGAGAAAAGCCCACAGGGAUGUGAGGAAAUUCUCUCAUCACUUCUUUUGCAUGAUUACCUUUGUGGCUCUUCUCUGAACUGUGUUCAGUUCAUUCCACCAAGAUGGCCGCUCUAGGGGAGCCCUGGCCAGAAGGAGAGUGGGGCCCAGGUGUACCGACCAGGUGUGACACAGGAGAGGCAGCACAGUAAAACACAUGGAUCACAGAUCCCAGACAGAAGAGGGCAGCAGUCCUGGCAGGAACAACAAGAAGAGGACAGAUGAAAAGAACAUGGCUGCCGGCAAACCUGUGGAGCCAACACAUCCUCUGGACUUGGUUUGCAGGUCUUUUGCAGGGAACCAACACCAUCACUCUUCUCCUAGAAACAAGAGGCUCUAGGCCGGGACAAGGCCUAUCACUUCUGGACAUCUAGACCAGCCACCAAAUGGUCUAGCUGACUCAACCUGGGAAGCUGGGACAAAGAAGGGGAAUCAGGAAAAUCAGAAACUCCUGUGGCCAGGCAAGCUCCAGUGACCAAGGUGUGAUCAUCCCAGCGCUGAAAAGAUCACACCAACCCUGUGUCUCCCACACCAACCGAAGUGUCCCCACUGUGCAAGAAGUUGGGGUGUAAAGACCUCAGAGAGAACUAAGUUGGAGUUCAGAUCCAAACUCCAUUUCUUCUGUAACAUGGCAACUGAGUUUCUGUUCAUUCCUUUGGAGAUUGAGGACAUAACACCUUAUCUCCCUGGGCUGUCGUAUGUUCAUAAUGUUCACAAUAAUGUAUGUGAAAGGCCUGAGACCGUAUCUGUACCUAGCAGAU